CCCCUCGAUGACGAGGAGCUGAUGGGCUAUGUUCUGGCCGGCCUCGACGAGGACUAUGAGCCGGUUGUCUCCAGUCUGGUAGGCAAAAGCGAACCAGUGUCAAUUUCUGAAGUUUAUUCUCAACUGUUGAGUUUCGAGU
rnacentral:snoRNA from 1 species